UACGUAGGGGGCAAGCGUUGUCCGGAUUUAUUGGGCGUAAAGAGCGUGUAGGCGGCCUGAAAGGUCAGCUGUGAAAACUCGAGGCUCAACCUCGAGACGUCGGUUGAAACCAUCUGGCUAGAGUCCGGAAGAGGAGUGUGGAAUUCCCGGUGAUAGCGGUGAAAUGCGCAGAUAUCGGGAAGAACACCAAUAGCGAAGGCAGCUCGCUGGGACGUUA
rnacentral:rRNA from 1 species